CGGCCUACUAAAUGUGCUUUGCAUGUAGGUUUUAAGGCAUGUAGGAGCUUGACAUGGUUUCUAGUUCAGGUUGGAUAACAUCUCUUGCUUUAGUAGAUUUGGUACACAUACAUUGUGUCUGGCAGUGUUUGUUUCAACCAACUGAAGGGUUUUAGGACACAAAAAUACUACAAUUAUACCUCCUAGGAAGGGAUCCUGCUCUCAGGUUGUUGCUGUCGGAGCCGAGUCCCUAACUUCCUCAUGACAAGGUCAAGCUGAGAACCCAACCCAGCAAGCACCUAAACCUUUCUUAAAGACAAAGCCGUACCACUUCCAGGGCUGUUAAUUAUGUUCCCAGGGUUCAGCAUUAAAGUGUAACAUCGGGCUGAACCCCGUGUGCACAACCCAGCAGUGCAUGGACAUGGGCUCAACUUCAAGCAGAUCAGUAUUUGAUGUUGACUUCAAGGUGGAUUAUUUACCUCCCUAAAAUAGUCAUAGGCGUAGUCAGUACUGCUAUUUUAUUUAUCUAAAACCUCUCCCUUUAAGCAUUUUUCAAGCACUUUAUUUUUUUUUAAUAUAGUAAAGAGUUUUCUUCACCUCUCCUGUGCGCAUUAAAUGCUGGAGCACAAGCAUUGGAGUUUGCUGAGGGUGAUGUGUUGAGCAGAACAUACCUGUGUCACCGUGAGAUCAGAGGUUUGGUGUACUCAGCCCUGAUCGGAGCAAGUAUAUCCACUGCAAAACAUGGGCAGCUCAUUUUUUUUAUGUAACUAUUUAUGCAUGUGUUAAUGUUUGGUACCUUGUGCGUGCGCUCAUAAAACCAAACCUGCUGAGAUGGACCUCGGUGCUUCACAGACGUAGGCAUUGCUCUGCACGCUCAGAGUCCUCUCUAUCUUGGCAGGACCAGCUUUAGCUGAGAAACAUUUUAGGUGAAGGUUGUUUCAGCUGGGGAAGAAGCAUUCGGCAGGAUUCACAACACUAGACUCAGAAAGCUGCUGGCAGGGUGGCAGAACCGCUGUACGGAGUGCACUGCCUGGGACAUGAGGCGCACCCGGGGCUCCAGGCAGACGAGCACUUGGAGAAAUGGGCAGGAGCCUGGCCCCAGGGCUCCCCGGGGAAGUACAGAAGCGACUGGCGAGGCAGAAGUAGGCUCAGGGCCCUUCCAGCAGCCCAGGGGAGUGCCCUAACUCCAGGAGUGUAAGGAACUAGGGAGAACAACAGCACAUCCCCAAAGCCAGCUGUUCAUUUUCUUUACUUUUCUUAUAGAAAAAUCACAUUUAUUUUUUUAAUUUCAGUAAGAAAGAUGAUUAUUUUGGGUAUAAUCGGUCCCUUUUUGUUUACGUGGCUGGUAAACCAAAAUUCAGUUUAAGGCGUUAAACUAUUCAGGAAUAGAAGCUUAGGCGUGUGCACAAGUUCUUCCAGGACUGAGGGCAGACAGGACAGUAGGAGAAGCGUGACUUGUUCUUCCCUCUCGUGCCCGUGAGUGCAGUUUCCGUAGCUGUGUCCUCGUUAGUCACAGCAGGUUUGUGGGGGGGGGCUGCUGUGAAGUGAGCAUUUCUGUAAGGCAGGUGGGUCGUGUUAAUGCACUUGUUUAAAAUGCUGGUUUAGCCUCUUUGAUUAAGUGCAUUAAAAUUAUUUAAAUGCAGCAUCGUGUGCAGGUGUGCAUUUUUCUUCUGCGUCUUCAUCAGCUGGGGGUUACCUCAGGUAGGGGUGGGGCCCCUCUGAAGUCACACCACUGCACUGAAAAAGAGCACCUGGGGAGGCAGCAGCCUCGGAGGAGAAUUUUAAAGUCUAGGAUGAAAAAAAAAAAACCAGUUCCUUGGGCUAAGCAAAACAGGCUUGCUGAAACCUCAGUGAUCAUGGCUUUUAAACCCAGCCAGCAGGAACAGGGUUAGAGAAAGAUUAACCCUGCAGGAACCUGGCUGCUGUAACCCCUACUGUAUAAAUAAACCACCAGGCACGCAUCUGAGAAAGCUAACAGAAAAAAAACAACAACCUCCAGCAACCAAAAUAGCUUUUGGCCACCAUACAGCAAUGCGAAGACUGUGCUGCGAAUGCGAUCAGCCGCUGUAGGACCCCCACUUCCCAACUGCAUCUCCUAUGUCCUGGUUGCCCUGGACUCACUGACCUGCGGGGCCAGCAGCUGCAGCUGGUGAGAAAUUCCCUCUGGUUUCUUCAGGUCCUGGUGGCUGGAAAAGAGCAUUAAGCUGGGGUGAGAUUUUCAACCUCCUCUUGCUCAGCUCAACUUACGUCCAUCAGGUGCAAUUCUCACGAGGUGAGGCCCCUUCAGAUCUCAUAGGCUUUUCUAGGAGGGGAAAACGGCCUUCCUUGGCUGCCCCCCUGCAUUAAAGCAGCCCGAGAUCCUCACCAGAAAAAAAGGUAUUUUUAAAGCAUGUCCAAAAAAGUAUUUUUUAAAGCAUGUCAGGUACUGAAGUGUGAUUCAGAGACCCCCAGGCCAACCUGGCAUCACCCCGGCCUUGCCCUCUGCUCUGCAGGCAGUUUGCCCCCAUGUUUGCAGCACACCCCAUCCUUGCUAACAGCUGGGCUUGCAAAAUAACUCCCCUAUUACUUCACGGCACUAGGAUCCUCAGUAUUUUUAUGUUUGCUUGGUGGCAGUGCUACUCAACCAACUACUGGGUCAAAGCCCUACUGGGUUUCAGCUGAGCUGCAACACCUGAAAGGGAAACUGAGAAAAGGGAGAGGGGAAAAUAUAGUAUAAAACUGCACACACAAAACAAUUUUUCGUUUUAUUAUGAAAACAAAACAAAUGCCCCAGGACCAGGGUCCAUUACCAGUAACAUCAAAGAUUACUUUCUAACUUUUUUUAAAAAUUCUGUUGUGUUUGAGGCCAGCAAUUUGCAAUAAACAAGCUAAACUACUUACAUUGACUUUUUUUUUCCAGUAACUGACAUUUACAGGAAUAUACUAGAAAUGGCACUAAAAAGUUUUAAGAAAAAGUUACGGUAAAUUUGCAUGCACAUCAUACAGAAAAGUAACAUUUUUUUUUUUAAAUAUUAAAAAAAGGAAAAACAAAAACAAAUACAACAACAAAUCUUUCUGGAUGGGUUAUGCCAGUAUCAGGGAUAAGUUCUAAGUGGCCCGUGUCAAAUCCUAGCUGGUGGUUUAUUUAUUUUAAAAAAUGACAUUUAAAAAGAUAUGCAAAUACCAUUUUUGCUUUAAAUGCAUCUCAUUGUUUUACAAGCAAGAUAACGCUGCUAGUGUAACGAAUCCUCGCCCUAAAUUUAUCUUCAGCAAUGCAGAGCCUGCCCAGUUAGCCCUAGUGGUAACUGCUCGUGUAUUAGAGUAUUUAUUUUUUUCAAAUUCAUUACUAAAAAGGUUGUGCUUUGUGUGGU